rnacentral:rRNA from 1 species
CAGCCGUAAACUAUGCUCGCUAGGUGUCAGGGACGGUGCGACCGUUUCUGGUGCCGCAGGGAAGCCGUGAAGCGAGCCACCUGGGAAGUACGGUCGCAAGGCUGAAACUUAAAGGAAUUGGCGGGGGAGCACUACAACGGGUGGAGCCUGCGGUUUAAUUGGACUCAACGCCGGAAAACUCACCGGGGGCGACAGCAAUAUGUAGGUCAAGCUAAAGACCUUGCCUGAAUCGCUGAGAGGAGGUGCAUGGCGUAGACGUCU